rnacentral:rRNA from 1 species
CGCCGCGUGGAGGAUGAAGGUUUUAGGAUUGUAAACUCCUGGUAAGUGGGAAGAAAGACUCAUCCUUAAUACGGAUGAGGGAUGACGGUACCAUUAGAGAAAGCACCGGCUAACUUCGUGCCAGCAGCCGCGGUAAGACGAGGGGUGCAAGCGUUAUUCGGAAUUAUUGGGCGUAAAGGGUGCGUAGGCGGUAUGCUAAGUCAAUCGUUAAAUUUUCCGGCCUAACUGGAAGCAGGCGAUAGAUACUGGUGUACUAGAGGGUGAGAGAGAGAAGUGGAAUUCUCGGAGUAGCGGUAAAAUGCGUGGAUCUCGAGAGGAACACCAAUGGCGAAGGCAGCUUCUUGGCUCACUUCUGACGCUCAAGCACGAAAGCGUGGGGAGCAACAGGAUUAGAUCCCUGGUAGUCCACGCUGUAACGAUGAUCCUAGACGU